AUUGAACGCUGGCGGCAGGCUUAACACAUGCAAGUCGAGCGGUAGCACAGGGGAGCUUGCUCCCUGGGUGACGAGCGGCGGACGGGUGAGUAAUGUCUGGGAAACUGCCUGAUGGAGGGGGAUAACUACUGGAAACGGUAGCUAAUACCGCAUAACGUCGCAAGACCAAAGAGGGGGACCUUCGGGCCUCUUGCCAUCAGAUGUGCCCAGAUGGGAUUAGCUAGUAGGUGGGGUAAUGGCUCACCUAGGCGACGAUCCCUAGCUGGUCUGAGAGGAUGACCAGCCACACUGGAACUGAGACACGGUCCAGACCCCUACGGGAGGCAGCAGUGGGGAAUAUUGCACAAUGGGCGCAAGCCUGAUGCAGCCAUGCCGCGUGUGUGAAGAAGGCCUUCGGGUUGUAAAGCACUUUCAGCGAGGAGGAAGGUGGUGAGCUUAAUACGCUCAUCAAUUGACGUUACUCGCAGAAGAAGCACCGGCUAACUCCGUG
rnacentral:rRNA from 1 species